rnacentral:piRNA from 1 species
UCUCAGUUUUGCAUGUCCCUCAC